rnacentral:rRNA from 1 species
GAUGAACGCUGGCGGCGUGCCUAAUACAUGCAAGUCGAGCGAACAGAUAAGGAGCUUGCUCCUUUGACGUUAGCGGCGGACGGGUGAGUAACACGUGGGUAACCUACCUAUAAGACUGGGAUAACUUCGGGAAACCGGAGCUAAUACCGGAUAAUAUUUCGAACCGCAUGGUUCGAUAGUGAAAGAUGGUUUUGCUAUCACUUAUAGAUGGACCCGCGCCGUAUUAGCUAGUUGGUAGGGUAACGGCUUACCAAGGCGACGAUACGUAGCCGACCUGAGAGGGUGAUCGGCCACACUGGAACUGAGACACGGUCCAGACUCCUACGGGAGGCAGUAGUAGGGAAUCUUCCGCAAUGGGCGAAAGCCUGACGGAGCAACGCCGCGUGAGUGAUGAAGGUCUUCGGAUCGUAAAACUCUGUUAUUAGGGAAGAACAUACGUGUAAGUAACUGUGCACGUCUUGACGGUACCUAAUCAGAAAGCCACGGCUAACUACGUG